rnacentral:lncRNA from 1 species
UCUUAGUACGUGUCUUUCAAGGAGAAGAAGGAUUAAAUUUUCGUACACGAAUUUCCGGAUUUGUCAGUGAAUAGCCAAUGGAUUAUAAUAAUUGAGGUAUUUAUGGAAAGAAACACUCCAUACACAAUGUUCUUGACGCCUCCAUAUUAGAAUAUGAUUAUGGUCAUAACAAUUAAU